AAAUUUCAAAAAUUACUCCGUACAAGAAUUGCGACGUUACCUACAGUCUAGGCUAAUUGCUGCAACAAAAUUCAAUAAAAGGAAACUGAUUGAACUUGCAGUAUACGCGCACGACCUUCAAUAGGAAAUCAUUGAAUAUGAUGACUACACAGAUCUGUGUAAAGAGCGGCGACGAAUUUUAACAAAAGAAGGACAGUCUCAUUAUGUAAUAGAUGUGUCGGAGGUAAAGGAUUGGACAGUUGAUCUCAGAGGGCUGCCUAGUGUUGAAACUGGAGAUAUUAUGAUAUAUUUACUCAGUACUUGUCAGUGGUCAGACGAUAGACUGCGUGAUUAUAAACAAGACAAUGGUUACAAGUUGUAUAUGUGCAAUCACAUUUCAGAGGUCAAGCUGUACAAAACUGACACUUUGGGUUACAUGUAUGUUCAUGCCAAUUGUAUUCCUGAAACUAGACAGAGUGCUGAUCCCUACAAUAUAUGGGUACUUAUGGAUUCUACAGGAUAUUUGAAGUCUGGAGGAUGUACUUGUGUGGCGUAAGUA
rnacentral:lncRNA from 1 species